ensembl:misc_RNA Metazoa_SRP Metazoan signal recognition particle RNA
GCCCGAUGUGGUGGCGCGUGGCUGUAGUCCCAGCUACUUGGGAGGCUGAGGUGGGUGGAUCGCCUGACCCCAGGAGUUCUGGGCUGUAGUGCGCUAUGCUGAUCAGGUGUCCACACGAAGUUCGGCAUCAAUAUGGUGACCUCCUGGGAGCAGGGGACCACCAGGUUGCCUAAGGAGGAGUGAACUGGCCCAGGUAGGAAACGGAGCAGGUCAAAACUCCUGUGCUGAUCAGUAGUGGGAUCGCACCUGUGAAUAGCCACUGCACUCCAGCCUGGGCAACAUAGUGAUACCCCAUCUCUA